UUUUUUUUUUUUUAGUGGCGUGUCAGUUAUCAGGCCCGAUAGGCACGGGUCAACCUUGACUUUUCUUAACCCUACAUAAGUUAUAUCUAACAAGUUAGCUUUUUUCCCAUCUAUUCGUCGCACAAAAAAUCGGUGGAAACCGGAAGAUGCCUAGGAAUCCCAAACAAUCUCUUAGAAGUCUUCAGCCCAGAUGAAGACAACAGGAACAAAAUCAUCCAAUUC